GGAGAAUGUUAUCACGGGAGACACACGGCGGGUGCUAACGUCCGUCGUGAAGAGGGAAACAACCCAGACCGCCAGCUAAGGUCCCAAAGUCAUGGUUAAGUGGGAAACGAUGUGGGAAGGCCCAGACAGCCAGGAUGUUGGCUUAGAAGCAGCCAUCAUUUAAAGAAAGCGUAAUAGCUCACUGGUCGAGUCGGCCUGCGCGGAAGAUGUAACGGGGCUAAACCAUGCACCGAAGCUGCGGCAGCGACGCUUAUGCGUUGUUGGGUAGGGGAGCGUUCUGUAAGCCUGUGAAGGUGUGCUGUGAGGCAUGCUGGAGGUAUCAGAAGUGCGAAUGCUGACAUAAGUAACGAUAAAGCGGGUGAAAAGCCCGCUCGCCGGAAGACCAAGGGUUCCUGUCCAACGUUAAUCGGGGCAGGGUGAGUCGACCCCUAAGGCGAGGCCGAAAGGCGUAGUCGAUGGGAAACAGGUUAAUAUUCCUGUACUUGGUGUUACUGCGAAGGGGGGACGGAGAAGGCUAUGUUGGCCGGGCGACGGUUGUCCCGGUUUAAGCGUGUAGGCUGGUUUUCCAGGCAAAUCCGGAAAAUCAAGGCUGAGGCGUGAUGACGAGGCACUACGGUGCUGAAGCAACAAAUGCCCUGCUUCCAGGAAAAGCCUCUAAGCAUCAGGUAACAUCAAAUCGUACCCCAAACCGACACAGGUGGUCAGGUAGAGAAUACCAAGGCGCUUGAGAGAACUCGGGUGAAGGAACUAGGCAAAAUGGUGCCGUAACUUCGGGAGAAGGCACGCUGAUAUGUAGGUGAAGUCCCUCGCGGAUGGAGCUGAAAUCAGUCGAAGAUACCAGCUGGCUGCAACUGUUUAUUAAAAACACAGCACUGUGCAAACACGAAAGUGGACGUAUACGGUGUGACGCCUGCCCGGUGCCGGAAGGUUAAUUGAUGGGGUCAGCGCAAGCGAAGCUCUUGAUCGAAGCCCCGGUAAACGGCGGCCGUAACUAUAACGGUCCUAAGGUAGCGAAAUUCCUUGUCGGGUAAGUUCCGACCUGCACGAAUGGCGUAAUGAUGGCCAGGCUGUCUCCACCCGAGACUCAGUGAAAUUGAACUCGCUGUGAAGAUGCAGUGUACCCGCGGCAAGACGGAAAGACCCCGUGAACCUUUACUAUAGCUUGACACUGAACAUUGAGCCUUGAUGUGUAGGAUAGGUGGGAGGCUUAGAAGUGUGGACGCCAGUCUGCAUGGAGCCGACCUUGAAAUACCACCCUUUAAUGUUUGAUGUUCUAACGUUGACCCGUAAUCCGGGUUGCGGACAGUGUCUGGUGGGUAGUUUGACUGGGGCGGUCUCCUCCUAAAGAGUAACGGAGGAGCACGAAGGUUGGCUAAUCCUGGUCGGACAUCAGGAGGUUAGUGCAAUGGCAUAAGCCAGCUUGACUGCGAGCGUGACGGCGCGAGCAGGUGCGAAAGCAGGUCAUAGUGAUCCGGUGGUUCUGAAUGGAAGGGCCAUCGCUCAACGGAUAAAAGGUACUCCGGGGAUAACAGGCUGAUACCGCCCAAGAGUUCAUAUCGACGGCGGUGUUUGGCACCUCGAUGUCGGCUCAUCACAUCCUGGGGCUGAAGUAGGUCCCAAGGGUAUGGCUGUUCGCCAUUUAAAGUGGUACGCGAGCUGGGUUUAGAACGUCGUGAGACAGUUCGGUCCCUAUCUGCCGUGGGCGCUGGAGAACUGAGGGGGGCUGCUCCUAGUACGAGAGGACCGGAGUGGACGCAUCACUGGUGUUCGGGUUGUCAUGCCAAUGGCACUGCCCGGUAGCUAAAUGCGGAAGAGAUAAGUGCUGAAAGCAUCUAAGCACGAAACUUGCC
rnacentral:rRNA from 1 species